UACAGAGGUCUCAAGCGUUGUUCGGAUUCAUUGGGCGUAAAGGGUGCGUAGGUGGCGGGGCAAGUUUGGUGUGAAAUCCCGGGGCUCAACCCCGGAACUGCACUGAAUACUGCCUUGCUUGAGCACUGGAGAGGGAACUGGAAUUUACGGUGUAGCAGUGAAAUGCGUAGAUAUCGUAAGGAAGACCAGUGGCGAAGGCGAGUUCCUGGACAGUUGCUGACACUG
rnacentral:rRNA from 1 species